GUGGCGUGCUUUCGGGUUCGUUCAAGCGUUGCGGCUGUGGUCAUCGUCACCAUGCUCCUGCUCCUAGCUUUCGAUGAAGUUUCAGCAUCUUCCUCGCUAUAGUAGAAUCAACAUCAGUUCUGCAAGAUGCUCAACGUCAAUGCAUCUUCCAUGUCAUCGAGUGGCAGAGGAGCCCACUCGGCGGAGCCAUUGGAGCUGAAGGAGUGCUCGAAGGAUAUCCUAGAGGUGUCGCAGAACAACGUGUUGACCAUGGCCGGUGGUAUGCCGACCUAGAGCAUGGAGGUCACCAACACCUAAAUCAGCUGCACCGUGUAUGACGUCCACGUCGCAUGCGGCGACUUCGCCUCAAAUGAUGUCAUCGACCCAGGCAAGUUUCACCACCUCAUCUUUAACGACUGCCUCAUCAACGGUGGCGGAUCCAUUGAGCCCAGCUUUCCUGUGUCUUUCCAGUACGGCAACUCCUUUCCCUACCUGACGACAGUCGCGCCCUCCUCAUGUAACUGCAACUAG
rnacentral:rRNA from 1 species